CUGCCCGCGGCUCCAACGCGCCGGGCCCCGGGCAGCCCGGGCAUCUCUGCCGGGCCCUGGGGAGAGGAUUCCACCCCAACAUCCAUUUUGUCCCUUUUGGAAAUGGAGAUGGGAGAGAGAGAGGAGGGAAAAUGCGCUGCUUUUUUUUUUUUUUUUUUUUUUCCUCUUUCUCCAUAUUUUACUACGUAAGGCAUGACGUCCUCACGUCGGGAGCGGGAUAGGUUAGCCCUGCGCUGGUGGGAAUGCACGGGGCUGGGGGGCGCGGGGGGCGGCUCUGAGAGCGGAACCUAAAAAUAACGGGGAUUUUAUUUAAAAAAAAAUCGUACCGAUGCCGCUGAUCCCACCGAUGCGGCCCCGUAAAGGCAGAGGGAGGCCGAGUCCCGCCCCCCCCCACACCCACCCCGAUCCGCGCCCCGCGGGACCGGGAGAGCUCGGGGAGCCCCGCGGGGCCCAGAUCGGAGCGGGGGAUGUGGGGGGCUCCUGCCUUUGCCCCCACCCCGGGGCUGCUGCAGUAGGUGGAGAGGGGUGAGGGAGGGUCAGCUCUGUGCCCCCACUGUGCUUGCACCCCGUUCUGCAGCAGUGAUUCGGCUGUCCGUGGAAAUGGAGCCGAAAUUGGCUAAUCUUCAAUUAAAAAAUACAAUUAAAUAAGAUUCAAGCAAACCCUAUGCUGGGUGUUAACAGCCCCGUGCUUCGAAGUGGCCGGGGUUUUCGGAGCGCUUUAAAAAUCGCUGCCUGCAACCGCGACUCCUCUCAGCUCCCAGCCGGGCCGUGCUCCGAAAGAUGGCCCGGGGGGGCCGGGGGGGGAGCACAAAACCCGCACGGCACCGAGCGGGGAGAGGGGCCGGGCCCGUCGGCAUGUGCAGCCCCAACGCUGUUGCGGAGCCGGGCCCGCUCCGUGCUGUCCCCAUACGCGCCGAGCUUCUCUAUUUCCCCCUCAACGAAUAUUUCUCCUGGAGGGGCUGGGGCCCGCCGGGAUGCUCUGUCUCGGUUCCCCACCGCCCGCCUCGUCCAACCGGGACCGUGCAGGGCCAAGCCGGCCCGUCCCGGUGUGGGCCACCACGAGGCAGUGCCGGGCCUGCCCGUCGGGGACCCCAAGCCGUGUCCCCGUCUCCAGCCCCGACGUCACAGUGCAGCCGACGGCAGCUGUGCCCAAAGCUCCCGGUGCAGCCGCCCUCGGGCCGGGCCCGGCUCCUCCAGCGGCACGCAAACGGACCCCGUGGCUGCAAGGUCCGCAACCGCUCCGUUUGGGGCACACAGAGCUCUGCCCCCCUGCAGCUGCUGCCUGGGCAGGGACGUGACAGCGCAGGGCAGGGGACAAAGCCCCACCAUCUCUGCAGUCUCCCAGCACCGGAGCGCAGCACCCUCCUGGAGCAGCACAUCCCUCGGCCACGCCGGGCCUGCAGGUAAUGGGGUUUUAGUGGGGCGGCUCCCCAGCUUGCUGGGCAGGAACACAGAGCCACAAAGGCGGCCCAGAUCCUUGAGAACCAAGGCCACGCAGGAUGGGUGGGUGGGGAAUGCAGGGCGAUGCUUCGUCUCUUCCCAGUGCCAUCCCGAGCAUUGUCCCCCUCUGAAAACCCGCAGGUUCCUCGGUGUGAUCUUAGGGGCCAGCACAAAGUGGCAUCCCUCAGCUCUGGGAGGGUUGCAGCAAAGGGAGGUGGGCAGGGGCACGGGGCCGGAGCGGGGACAGAGGGUGAGAAAGGCCUCCCCACAAAACCAAGGAAGGCUGAGGGCACCCCGGGGCACCCCCCACCCCAUUUAGGACCUGUCACAAUAGGAUGUUACUGGACCUGCAGGCAGCCAGGGGUGCGCAGCUCCGCUCGCUCCCGGUGUCCCACCGCUGCCCUCCGGUCCCGUGGCCGCUCCCGUGUCCCCAUGGUGCGAUGUGGCUCGUCCCCC
rnacentral:lncRNA from 1 species